AGGAUGAACGCUGGCGGUCUGCUUAACACAUGCAAGUCGAACGGAGUAGCAAUACUUAGUGGCGGACGGGUGAGUAACGCGUGAGAAUCUACCUUCAGGACGGAGACAACAGUUGGAAACGACUGCUAACCCCCGAUGUACCGAAAGGGCAAAUAUUUAUAGCCUGAAGAAGAGCUCGCGUCCGAUUAGCUAGUUGGAGAGGUAAAAGCUCACCAAGGCGACGAUCGGUAGCUGGUCUGAGAGGACGAUCAGCCACACUGGGACUGAGACACGGCCCAGACUCCUACGGGGGGCAGCAGUGAGGAAUUUUCGGCAAUGGGGGAAACCCUGACCGAGCAACGCCGCGUGCAGGAAGACGGCCUUCGGGUUGUAAACUGCUUUUCUUUGGGAAGAGGAAGGACGGUACCAGAGGAAUCAGCCCCGGCUCACUACGUGCCAGCAGCCGC
rnacentral:rRNA from 1 species